AGGGUAGUAGUUAACUAUAACAUUUGGGUUGCAUUCAAAAAGUAUUGAAACUAAUCAAUCUACCUUA
rnacentral:tRNA from 1 species